GAAGAUUAUAGCCAAACCUCUAUAUUUUCCUCCAUUUCCAUCGCAUUCCCUUUACAUGGCGCCAUAUUUCUGCAGACUUUAUUUCCAUGUGGAUAGCAUAAAUUGUUUGAAAAUCCCCAACCGAUUUGUUGCCGAACUGGAACUGCCUCUUCCGGCGAAUUGUAGAAUCGAAAAUGAAUUUGGUUGUGUAGCCUCGGUAGUGUUUGAAACGAGUGGGGAUGUCCAUCAAUUCGCACGAGGCUGGUUCCAUUGUGCAAGAAACAAUGCUCUACUGCAUGGGGACUUGCUAAUAAUCAAUUACGAGGGGAAUGAAUUGUUUACAAUGCAACGAUAUUGGGCUGGAUCUCGGUUUCCUCCGUUAGACCACGCAGAUAUGUCAUUUUGUACAAAAUAAUCAUUGUGCUAUACGAUUCAACAUAGAGAAUGUUGAUGUCCUUCAUCCUCACCGUGCAGAAGCAUUGGAGUUUGAACCAUCCGAUGAAGAGAAUGUUGGAAAUUCAGCUAGAGCGCGUGCGUCGGCCGCAUUAACAUCGGGGUCUUACAAUUACCUUUAUUAGUCGUCUAUAACUCAUCGUUUGUUGUUAAUGUAGCGAGUGUAUGUUAUGUAAUGUUAUGGGAUUGAGUAGUAUGCAUUUCCGAAA